CAGACUGUCUGAAUGACCUAUUUCCACGCUACGGUGGAGACAAGGAAGACUCUGGGAUGUGGAUGAGAACAUGAAUCGCAGGAAAGGAACAAGAGGACGAUGUGGAACUCUGACGUCACGGCUACAAAAUAUCAACUCCACUGCCCUCCUGUCUCUCUUUCUUUCUUUCUUCCUCUCCUCACCCCUGUCCUAUCUCCUCCCCCACCCCCCUCUCUCGCUUUCCCUCUCGUCCUGAACAGCACGCCUCGCUGUGGCUGGUCAAACGGAACCAAGUCAGGUGUUUCAGAGAGGUUUGGUCCCCUUCAACCAGCUACUGCGUCGUGACCUCAGUCAGCAGACAGACAUCCACAGCGGGAACGAAAGACAGAGUGUACACUACUACUACUGUACUACUGUAGCCUACUGCUGUUGCUUUUGUGUGUCUGAAUCAGGUCAAAUUAAUCUACUUUUUGUACCACUGUGGAUACAUUUUUUAGAUGUUUCUGUUACGUACAUUUUUAUGUUGUGUUUUAAAAAAUAAAGAAUUAAAGAUGUGACCGUG